ensembl:lncRNA
AAAAGCCACCUCCUCUUACAGACCUGAGCCGUGCAGUGGGUUACUGCCAGUGUUUCCAUCUAACUGGUGAGGAAAGUCAAAGCUUCCUCUGUGAGCCUGAGUGUCCAGGAAGGAUUUGGAAUGUCUUUUCAGCUCCUUUUCUGCAUUGCCAGCAUUGCUUUUUUCAAGGAUGCCUGGGACUUUAAAAAGAGGGACCUGCGUCUACUCUGACAAAAGUGAAUGCCUCUGACUUCCUCAUGCUGUGCUGCCAAGCCGGGCUGCCUCUGCUCCAUCACUGCUCCAUCACUGCUAGCCGAGAGAUGGAUGCUGAUUUGCCUGCUGGAGAGACCGUGCUGUCUGUCAGCACAUUUCCUGCUGCUGUGGAUUAAAAAGGCUUCUCGCUCUCGGAGCAGAUGGCCACCUCUCCACCCAUCCUCUCAGAGCAUACAUCACGCUGGAGAGGAGAGCAAAAAUAAGGCCCUGGAAGAAAUUCUGGCCAUGAACCUAUAUAAUCAGCCUGAACACUGGCACAGAUGAGGUCAUUUCUUAUGUUUAUGUUUUUAUGUGCAUUGUAUGCUCCCUGUUCUCCUCCUUGUGUCACUGUGAUGUGAAGGGAAUUUCCUGUGCACACACGGUAUUGUUGCAGGGCUUUGUGAACGUGAGCCACCUCGGGUGGCACGGAGAAGUAAUGCUCAGUGCUGGCAGUACAUACAAGCACUUAGGAAAACUCCCAUUCCCUCAGAUCAUUUUCUUCUUGGUUGCGUGCUGAAUAUUUUGUUAGAAGGUUAGAAGGAGAAGUGGCUGCGUUUAGCAGUUGCUGACACGUUUCAGCACUCUCACUAUGCAGAGGUCAGUUCUCAAGUGCUGUAAAUCAGCCUGGCUGCAGUCCAGCCAUGCCAUGGCAACUGGAAAGGGGCUCGUGGAGACCAUUGGAGCCCUCCUCUUGGAGUAUGCUGUUGAUCAGCCAUCAGGUCUACAGUAAAUACCUAAUUUAAGUGGUGAGUUUUGUCCUUACAAUCUCUCAUCUUUGAGUGUUUGCUGAUCAGGAUGGCAGGACAAGUUGAAAACAGAUGUCCCUUUUGGCUUCUGGUUCCCAUGAAAUAGAAAUACACGUAUUUCUAUGGCUAUAGU